GAUGGGACAAGAUCAUAACUACCAAUUGGAUACCACGAAAUUGGGAAGAGUUUUCCCCGAGCCGGUCUCCCCCACCACUAGGACAACACGGUUGUCUUUGAUGACCUGGACGAUCUCCUCCUGGCGCUCGUACACAGGAAGUGAGCUGCGGAAGAAGUCCAGUUCAGAUGGGCCCCUCUUCUGGGGCACCUGGGGAAUGCCGUUGUUGAGCCGCCCACUGGUCCUGUUCUUGUCACGGCUGCUCUCUGGUGGAGAAAAAAAAGAGGGGCAGAGGAAUGUUAAAACUUUGAAUUGUCAACACAUUUUAACAGAUAGAUCAUUUAUUCAUUCAUCAGUACAUUGUUAUUAAAAACAAAGGUUUACAAGGAC